GCCUGGGUGGCUCAGUCAGUUGAGCACCCGACUUCAGCUCAGGCCAUGAUAUCAGGGUUCGUGAGUUCAAGCCUCGCAUCGGGCU
rfam:Felis catus isolate Cinnamon breed Abyssinian chromosome B4, whole genome shotgun sequence.